CUAGACAGCAGCAGCUGUCAGGGACGGCGAGAAAGAGCAAGGGUCCCCUGGGGGGUGUCCACUGAGGCACCCCUACCCUUCUCCCCCAGACUGCCCCCGGAUCCAUCCGACCCGAAACCAACUCCCGCAUCCCUACUCGAGGAAGCCCCGGAGUCUCGCCGCUUGGUGAGGGUGUGUGUCCACCUGACUGCGGCCCUCAGAACCCCCAAAUGGAGGCCAGGGCUGGAGGUGCGGGAAAGAUGACAGGCCCGGCCCCGGGGUCGCCCCCUUCUCCCGCCGCGCGCGCGCAGGGGGCCAAUGGCGGAGGAGGGGGCGGAGGAAAGCGGGGGAGCUUGUGAGGGUGCGGACCCGGCCUGGGGGGCACGCGGUGGGUGUGGGGGCGCCGGGCUCACCUACCUCUCGUCAGCGCCGCCAUUGCCGGUCACAUGACUGAGGCUGUUGCUGGGAUGACGGUCCGGGCCUUAGCAACAAGGGGCGGGGUGGGGGGGGGAGACCCCGAGAAGGUGGAAGGGGAUGCCGGGGUGCAGACUGAGAG
rnacentral:lncRNA from 1 species